rnacentral:rRNA from 1 species
AGUUACCACUCUAUAACCCUUUGUGAACAUACCUACAUGUUGCUUCGGCGGUCGGCCCCCCGGGCCCCCGGCCCCGCUCACGCGGGGCGUCCGCCGGAGGAUAACCAAACUCUGAUUUAACGACGUUUCUUCUGAGUGGCACAAGCAAAUAAUCAAAACUUUUAACAACGGAUCUCUUGGUUCUGGCAUCGAUGAAGAACGCAGCGAAAUGCGAUAAGUAAUGUGAAUUGCAGAAUUCAGUGAAUCAUCGAAUCUUUGAACGCACAUUGCGCCCGCCAGCAUUCUGGCGGGCAUGCCUGUUCGAGCGUCAUUUCAACCCUCAAGCACUGCUUGGUGUUGGGGCUCUACGGUUGACGUAGGCCCCCAAAACUAGUGGCGGACCCUCUCGGAGCCUCCUUUGCGUAGUAACUUUUGUCUCGCACUGGGAUUCGGAGGGAUUCUAGCCGUUAAACCCCCAAUUUUCUAAAGGUUGACCUCGGAUCAGGUAGGAAUACCCGCUGAACUUAAGCAUAUCAAUAAGCGGAGGAAAAGAAACCAACAGGGAUUGCCUCAGUAACGGCGAGUGAAGCGGCAACAGCUCAAAUUUGAAAUCUGGUCCUUGCGGCCCGAGUUGUAAUUUGCAGAGGAUGCUUUUGGCGCGGUGCCUUCCAAGUUCCCUGGAACGGGACGCCUUAGAGGGUGAGAGCCCCGUACGGUUGGACACCAAGCCUUUGUAAAGCUCCUUCGACGAGUCGAGUAGUUUGGGAAUGCUGCUCUAAAUGGGAGGUAUAUUUCUUCUAAAGCUAAAUACCGGGCCAGAGACCGAUAGCGCACAAGUAGAGUGAUCGAAAGAUGAAAAGC